rnacentral:rRNA from 1 species
GACGAACGCUGGCGGCGUGCCUAAUACAUGCAAGUAGAACGCUGAAGGAGGAGCUUGCUUCUCUGGAUGAGUUGCGAACGGGUGAGUAACGCGUAGGUAACCUGCCUGGUAGCGGGGGAUAACUAUUGGAAACGAUAGCUAAUACCGCAUAAGAGUAGAUGUUGCAUGACAUUUACUUAAAAGGUGCAAUUGCAUCACUACCAGAUGGACCUGCGUUGUAUUAGCUAGUUGGUGAGGUAACGGCUCACCAAGGCAACGAUACAUAGCCGACCUGAGAGGGUGAUCGGCCCCACUGGGACUGAGACACGGCCCAGACUCCUACGGGAGGCAGCAGUAGGGAAUCUUCGGCAAUGGACGGAAGUCUGACCGGGCAACGCCGCGUGAGUGAAGAAGGUUUUCGGAUCGUAAAGCUCUGUUGUAAGAGAAGAACGAGUGUGAGAGUGGAAAGUUCACACUGUGACGGUAUCUUACCAGAAAGGGACGGCUAACUACGUG